GAUUGAAAUCCUUUAAAAAAAAAAGCUUUCCUAAUAGUAACAGAUUGAUUUAGAUAAGUCGUAUCUUUGUAGAGAGGACAAACCAAGUCUACUUAUCAUGAAGAGAAAGGGUAAGAUGGACAGAGAUAUGAUGCACAGGACAGACCAUAAUGAAACAGCAAGACAUAUGCCUGCAUUGGCCUAUUGUCAUUAUGAAGUUUAGCAUUGAAUUAUAUACAAAGAGCUAGGAAACAGGUUAUUCAUGAAAGCAAAGAGACUACUUGGGUAGAAUUUUCAGGAGUAUAUUUGAGAUGAUAGGAACAAGAUUUUGGACUGGUCAGAAUAUAGAAGUAAAGUUCUUAAUAUUCUCACAAAACCUUGUGUACUAGAUGAGGUGUAUUAACCGUUUCUUCUAUAGUUUCUGCUUUCUGUAUAAUUUGCUCAGUUUCCCAGCAUAGCCAGGCUAUAGUAGGGACCAGCUCUAGUGCAUUUUUU
rnacentral:misc_RNA from 1 species